CCCUUAGAUGUUCUGGGCCGCACGCGCGCUACACUGACUACUUCAACGAGUUGUUUCCUUGAUCGAAAGGUCUGGGUAAUCUUUGAAAGGUAGUCGUGAUGGGGAUAGAUCCUUGCAAUUUUUGAUCUUCAACGAGGAAUUCCUAGUAAACGCAAGUCAUCAGCUUGCAUUGAUUACGUCCCUGCCCUUUGUACACACCGCCCGUCGCGCCUACCGAUUGAAUGGUCCGGUGAAUCUUUAGGACUGUGGCUGAGGCCUUGCCUUGUGCGGGUCUGGCCGUGGGAAUUUAGUUAAACCUUACCAUUUAGAGGAAGGUGAAGUCGUAACA
rnacentral:rRNA from 1 species